ensembl:miRNA mir-4929 miscRNA
UAAAAUAUUUUAAUUCAUUAAAUAAAUUUGCGCGUAAGAUAAAAUGCACUGCACACAAAUGCACACAAUGCACCACAUCUUACGCUCAAAUUUUCUUUAAUUAAUUUUCA